GUUAGCGGGCAUAACGAUUGAUUUCCCUGCUCUCCUGUUACAUUGUAGUUUUUGGAUAAUAGUAACCAAAAAUACUAUUACAACUCUGUUUACGACAAUUGCAGAUGAUGAAGAGAAGAGUUCAUGUAACUAGCCCCUGAAACAAGCAGGAGCUGAACAUGGCUGCAGUAUAGCCAUCUGGAGAUGAGAUACUAAACACCUGGUGAUGUCAAUGGGUCACACACUACAGGCAUUCAUUUCAUGCUCAGGAUAUGUGGCAAGGGGCGACAUGGCUCAGGCAGUAAAGCAGUCGUCUGGCAGUUGGAUGGGGGCCGGUUCGAUCCCCCGCCCGGGCUGUGUCGGAGUGUCCCUGAGCAAGACACCUAACCCCCAAAUGCUCCUGACGAGCUGGUCAGCACCUUGCAUGGCAGCCAAUCGCCGUUGGUGUGUGAGUGUGAGUAUGAACGGGUGAAGGAUAAGCAUCAAUUGUACAGUGCUUUUGAUAAAGGCGCAAUAUAAAUGCCAACCAUUUACCAUUUACCUAUCCUGCAAAAGUUUCCCUUUUAA